GCCGCGUUGCCGUGGUUGUGCGCGUUGGCCGUCACUUGGUACGUGCCGCGCCGUGCGGAUCGCACGGGAGGACAUCGGCGCUGGGCCGUUGCGCUGCU
rnacentral:tRNA from 1 species